rnacentral:rRNA from 1 species
GACGAACGCUGGCGGCGUGCUUAACACAUGCGAGUCGAACGGAAAGGCCUGCUUUCCCUUGUGGAUUGCGGGUACUCGAGUGGCGAACGGGUGAGUAACACGUGAGUGAUCUGCCCCCAACUUGGGUAUAAGCCUGGGAAACUGGGUCUAAUUCCCGAUAGGACUGCAGGGUGGUGCCUGUGGUGGAAAACGAUUUUCUAGUGGUUGGGGAUGAGCUCGCGGCCUAUCAGCUUGUUGGUGGGGUAAUGGCCUACCAAGGCGGCGACGGGUAGCCGGCCUGAGAGGGUGGACGGCCACAUUGGGACUGAGAUACGGCCCAGACUCCUACGGGAGGCAGCAGUGGGGAAGAUUGCACAAUGGGCGGAAGCCUGAUGCAGCGACGCCGCGUGGGGGAUGACGGCCUUCGGGUUGUAAACUCCUUUCGACCGCGAGGAAGCCACCUGGUUGGAAGGGUGGUGACGGUAGUGGUAGAAGAAGCACCGGCUAACUACGUG